rnacentral:rRNA from 1 species
CUGCCGGCGUAAAAGUACGGAGGAAGGUGGGGAUGACGUCAAAUCAUCAUGCCCCUUAUGACUUGGGCUACACACGUGCUACAAUGGGCGGUACAAAGGGUCGCGAACCCGCGAGGGGGAGCCAAUCCCAAAAAGCCGCUCUCAGUUCGGAUUGCAGGCUGCAACUCGCCUGCAUGAAGCCGGAAUCGCUAGUAAUCGCGGAUCAGCAUGCCGCGGUGAAUACGUUCCCGGGCCUU